GGGGGCAUUCAUUUUGUUUCUUCUGUGGAGGCCAUUUCUCUUGGUGCCCAAGCUGGUAUUCAUCCAUGGAUAAUUUAUGACAUUAUUUCUAAUGCUGCUGGAAAUUCAUGGGUAUUGUUUUGGAUAUGGCCAAAUCAUGUACAUUUCCUCUUCCACUUCUGGCAGUUGCUUUUCAACAUCUAAUAGCAGGCUCCUCUCAUGGUCAUGGAAAUGAUGGUAAUGACACAUUGAUCAAGGCUUGGGAGAAAGUAUAUGGGGUGAACAUUACCAAUGCUGUCAAUAUGCUUGUUUGGUGGAUACUUUUGUGGCAUGAUACUGUGUUGCGUUGAAUCUGGUGCUGAUUGGCUCUGUUCUGUGUGUUCUGCCUCUGAUGCAGCUUUUGAUUGAUGCGAUCUGUUUGUCCUGAUUUCUGAUUUGGUUGAGUUGUUUUGUUGCUGGUUUUGUUUGAUUUGUUUUCUGACUGUUUUAGUAAAUGAGGUAAACUGCUGCAUCAAUUCUAAUUUGGUUAUAUGAUUUUGUUUGGGUUGCCAAGUUGAAAUGGUUUUCUGAACUGGUGAUGAUCUGUGUU